UACGGAGGGUGCAAGCGUUGCUCGGAAUUAUUGGGCGUAAAGGGUAGGUAGGUGGUCUCAUUUGUCUGAGGUGAAAGCCUUGGGCUUAACCCGAGAAGGGCCUCAGAAACGGUGAGACUCGAGUACUGGAGAGGGUCGUGGAAUUCCCGGUGUAGCGGUGAAAUGCGUAGAGAUCGGGAGGAACACCAGUGGCGAAGGCGGCGACCUGGACAGGUACUGACACUCAACUACGAAAGCGUGGGGAGCAAACAGG
rnacentral:rRNA from 1 species